GUAAUUUCUGCCCAAUGAAUAUUUAAAUGGCCGCAGUAUUUUGACUGUGCAAAGGUAGCAUAAUAAUUAGUCUUUUAAUUGAGGACUGGAAUGAAAGGAUAUAUGAGAAAUAUAUUUUAUUAUUUUAAUUUUUAAAAUUUUAUUUUUGAGUAAAAAAGCUUAAUAUUAUUUUAGGGACGAAAAGACCCUAUAGAACUUUAUUAUUCAAUAAUUAAUUUAAUUUUAGUAGAUUAAUUAAUUUUAGUUUAUAUGAAUUUUUUAGUUGGGGGGACUAAUAAACUGUGAACUUUAUUUUUAUUAUUCAUUAAUUUAUGAUUAAGUUGAUCCUUAAUAAAUAUGAUUAAAAGAUUAAGUUACCUUAGGGAUAACAGCGUAAUUUUAAUGGAGAGAUCAUAUCUAUAUUUAAGUUUGCGACCUCGAUGUUGAAUUAAGAAAAGUUUAGGGGGUAGUUUCUCUAUAUACUAAGUCUGUUCGACU
rnacentral:rRNA from 1 species